AACCUGGGAACUGCAUUCGAAACUGGCAGGCUUGAGUCUUGUAGAGGGGGGUAGAAUUCCAGGUGUAGCGGUGAAAUGCGUAGAGAUCUGGAGGAAUACCGGUGGCGAAGGCGGCCCCCUGGACAAAGACUGACGCUCAGGUGCGAAAGCGUGGGGAGCAAACAGGAUUAGAUACCCUGGUAGUCCACGCCGUAAACGAUGUCUACUUGGAGGUUGUGCCCUUGAGGCGUGGCUUCCGGAGCUAACGCGUUAAGUAGACCGCCUGGGGAGUACGGCCGCAAGGUUAAAACUCAAAUGAAUUGACGGGGGCCCGCACAAGCGGUGGAGCAUGUGGUUUAAUUCGAUGCAACGCGAAGAACCUUACCUGGUCUUGACAUCCACAGAAGAAUCCAGAGAUGGAUUUGUGCCUUCGGGAACUGUGA
rnacentral:rRNA from 1 species